rnacentral:tRNA from 1 species
GAUGCAGUAGCGCACGCCGUUCGGCGAUUCGCGGUCGCCGGUAAAGACGUGGCCGAGGUGCGAAUCCCCGGUGCGGCU